rnacentral:rRNA from 1 species
UACGUAGGUGGCAAGCGUUGUUCGGAAUUAUUGGGCGUAAAGGGCGCGUAGGCGGUUUGUUAAGUCAGCUGUGAAAGCCCGGGGCUCAACCCCGGAGGGUCAGCUGAUACUGGCAGGCUAGAGUACAGAAGAGGUAACUGGAAUUCCCGGUGUAGCGGUGAAAUGCGUAGAUAUCAGGAGGAACACCGGUGGCGAAGGCGGGUCUCUGGGCCGAUACUGACGCUGAGGAGCGAAAGCGUGGGGAGCGAACAGG